GAAAUGCGAUAAGUAGUGUGAAUUGCAGAAUUCAGUGAAUCAUCGAAUCUUUGAACGCACAUUGCGCCCGCCAGUAUUCUGGCGGGCAUGCCUGUUCGAGCGUCAUUUCCACCAUCAGGCCCCCGGGCCUGUGUUGGGGACCUGCGGCUGCCCGCAGGCCCCGAAAUUCAGUGGCGGUCGCGCCGUAGCAACCGAGCGUAGUAACUAAAACGUCUCGCUCUGGCUCGCUGGGCGCGCUCCGGCCGUAAAACACCCCCCCUUUUCGCAAAGGUUGACCUCGGAUCAGGUAGGAAUACCCGCUGAACUUAAGC
rnacentral:misc_RNA from 1 species